UUAAGCGACUAAGCGUACACGGUGGAUGCCCUGGCAGUCAGAGGCGAUGAAGGACGUGCUAAUCUGCGAUAAGCGUCGGUAAGGUGAUAUGAACCGUUAUAACCGGCGAUUUCCGAAUGGGGAAACCCAGUGUGUUUCGACACACUAUCAUUAACUGAAUCCAUAGGUUAAUGAGGCGAACCGGGGGAACUGAAACAUCUAAGUACCCCGAGGAAAAGAAAUCAACCGAGAUUCCCCCAGUAGCGGCGAGCGAACGGGGAGCAGCCCAGAGCCUGAAUCAGUGUGUGUGUUAGUGGAAGCGUCUGGAAAGGCGCGCGAUACAGGGUGACAGCCCCGUACACAAAAAUGCACAUGCUGUGAGCUCGAUGAGUAGGGCGGGACACGUGGUAUCCUGUCUGAAUAUGGGGGGACCAUCCUCCAAGGCUAAAUACUCCUGACUGACCGAUAGUGAACCAGUACCGUGAGGGAAAGGCGAAAAGAACCCCGGCGAGGGGAGUGAAAAAGAACCUGAAACCGUGUACGUACAAGCAGUGGGAGCACGCUUAGGCGUGUGACUGCGUACCUUUUGUAUAAUGGGUCAGCGACUUAUAUUCUGUAGCAAGGUUAACCGAAUAGGGGAGCCGAAGGGAAACCGAGUCUUAACUGGGCGUUAAGUUGCAGGGUAUAGACCCGAAACCCGGUGAUCUAGCCAUGGGCAGGUUGAAGGUUGGGUAACACUAACUGGAGGACCGAACCGACUAAUGUUGAAAAAUUAGCGGAUGACUUGUGGCUGGGGGUGAAAGGCCAAUCAAACCGGGAGAUAGCUGGUUCUCCCCGAAAGCUAUUUAGGUAGCGCCUCGUGAAUUCAUCUCCGGGGGUAGAGCACUGUUUCGGCAAGGGGGUCAUCCCGACUUACCAACCCGAUGCAAACUGCGAAUACCGGAGAAUGUUAUCACGGGAGACACACGGCGGGUGCUAACGUCCGUCGUGAAGAGGGAAACAACCCAGACCGCCAGCUAAGGUCCCAAAGUCAUGGUUAAGUGGGAAACGAUGUGGGAAGGCCCAGACAGCCAGGAUGUUGGCUUAGAAGCAGCCAUCAUUUAAAGAAAGCGUAAUAGCUCACUGGUCGAGUCGGCCUGCGCGGAAGAUGUAACGGGGCUAAACCAUGCACCGAAGCUGCGGCAGCGACGCUGAUGCGUUGUUGGGUAGGGGAGCGUUCUGUAAGCCUGCGAAGGUGUGCUGUGAGGCAUGCUGGAGGUAUCAGAAGUGCGAAUGCUGACAUAAGUAACGAUAAAGCGGGUGAAAAGCCCGCUCGCCGGAAGACCAAGGGUUCCUGUCCAACGUUAAUCGGGGCAGGGUGAGUCGACCCCUAAGGCGAGGCCGAAAGGCGUAGUCGAUGGGAAACAGGUUAAUAUUCCUGUACUUGGUGUUACUGCGAAGGGGGGACGGAGAAGGCUAUGUUGGCCGGGCGACGGUUGUCCCGGUUUAAGCGUGUAGGCUGGUUUUCCAGGCAAAUCCGGAAAAUCAAGGCUGAGGCGUGAUGACGAGGCACUACGGUGCUGAAGCAACAAAUGCCCUGCUUCCAGGAAAAGCCUCUAAGCAUCAGGUAACAUCAAAUCGUACCCCAAACCGACACAGGUGGUCAGGUAGAGAAUACCAAGGCGCUUGAGAGAACUCGGGUGAAGGAACUAGGCAAAAUGGUGCCGUAACUUCGGGAGAAGGCACGCUGAUAUGUAGGUGAAGUCCCUCGCGGAUGGAGCUGAAAUCAGUCGAAGAUACCAGCUGGCUGCAACUGUUUAUUAAAAACACAGCACUGUGCAAACACGAAAGUGGACGUAUACGGUGUGACGCCUGCCCGGUGCCGGAAGGUUAAUUGAUGGGGUUAGCGCAAGCGAAGCUCUUGAUCGAAGCCCCGGUAAACGGCGGCCGUAACUAUAACGGUCCUAAGGUAGCGAAAUUCCUUGUCGGGUAAGUUCCGACCUGCACGAAUGGCGUAAUGAUGGCCAGGCUGUCUCCACCCGAGACUCAGUGAAAUUGAACUCGCUGUGAAGAUGCAGUGUACCCGCGGCAAGACGGAAAGACCCCGUGAACCUUUACUAUAGCUUGACACUGAACAUUGAGCCUUGAUGUGUAGGAUAGGUGGGAGGCUUUGAAGUGUGGACGCCAGUCUGCAUGGAGCCGACCUUGAAAUACCACCCUUUAAUGUUUGAUGUUCUAACGUUGACCCGUGAUCCGGGUUGCGGACAGUGUCUGGUGGGUAGUUUGACUGGGGCGGUCUCCUCCUAAAGAGUAACGGAGGAGCACGAAGGUUGGCUAAUCCUGGUCGGACAUCAGGAGGUUAGUGCAAUGGCAUAAGCCAGCUUGACUGCGAGCGUGACGGCGCGAGCAGGUGCGAAAGCAGGUCAUAGUGAUCCGGUGGUUCUGAAUGGAAGGGCCAUCGCUCAACGGAUAAAAGGUACUCCGGGGAUAACAGGCUGAUACCGCCCAAGAGUUCAUAUCGACGGCGGUGUUUGGCACCUCGAUGUCGGCUCAUCACAUCCUGGGGCUGAAGUAGGUCCCAAGGGUAUGGCUGUUCGCCAUUUAAAGUGGUACGCGAGCUGGGUUUAGAACGUCGUGAGACAGUUCGGUCCCUAUCUGCCGUGGGCGCUGGAGAAUUGAGGGGGGCUGCUCCUAGUACGAGAGGACCGGAGUGGACGCAUCACUGGUGUUCGGGUUGUCAUGCCAAUGGCACUGCCCGGUAGCUAAAUGCGGAAGAGAUAAGUGCUGAAAGCAUCUAAGCACGAAACUUGCCCCGAGAUGAGUUCUCCCUGACUCCUUGAGAGUCCUGAAGGAACGUUGAAGACGACGACGUUGAUAGGCCGGGUGUGUAAGCGCAGCGAUGCGUUGAGCUAACCGGUACUAAUGAACCGUGAGGCUUAACCUU
rnacentral:rRNA from 1 species